GUNCCAGCAGCCGCGGUAAUACGUAGGGUGCAAGCGUUAUCCGGAAUUAUUGGGCGUAAAGAGCUCGUAGGCGGUUUGUCGCGUCUGCUGUGAAAACUAGAGGCUCAACCUCUAGCUUGCAGUGGGUACGGGCAGACUAGAGUGCGGUAGGGGAGAUUGGAAUUCCUGGUGUAGCGGUGGAAUGCGCAGAUAUCAGGAGGAACACCGAUGGCGAAGGCAGAUCUCUGGGCCGUAACUGACGCUGAGGAGCGAAAGAGUGGGGAGCAAACAGGCUUAGAUACCCUGGUAGUCCACUCCGUAAACGUUGGGAACUAGUUGUGGGGGCCUUUCUACGGUCUCCGUGACGCAGCUAACGCAUUAAGUUCCCCGCCUGGGGAGUACGGCCGCAAGGCUAAAACUCAAAGGAAUUGACGGGGACCCGCACAAGCGGCGGAGCAUGCGGAUUAAUUCGAUGCAACGCGAAGAACCUUACCAAGGCUUGACAUAUACCGGAAACGGCUGGAAACAGUCGCCCCCUUGUGGUCGGCAUACAGGUGGUGCAUGGUUGUCGUCAGCUCGUGUCGUGAGAUGUUGGGUUAAGUCCCGCAACGAGCGCAACCCUCGUUCUAUGUUGCCAGCACGUUAUGGUGGGAACUCAUGGAAUACUGCCGGGGUCAACUCGGAGGAAGGUGGGGAUGACGUCAAAUCAUCAUGCCCCUUAUGUCUUGGGCUUCACGCAUGCUACAAUGGCCGGUACAAUGGGCUGCGAUACCGUGAGGUGGAGCGAAUCCCAAAAAGCCGGUCCCAGUUCGGAUUGUAGUCUGCAACUCGACUACAUGAAGUCGGAGUCGCUAGUAAUCGCAGAUCAGCAACGCUGCGGUGAAUACGUUCCCGGGUCUUGUACACACCGCCCGU
rnacentral:rRNA from 1 species